GACUCGCUAAAAACAGAAGAAAACAAUAACAUCCACUCCAUGCAUGCAUGGAGCUCCUUAUUGAAUGAAGCUGUCCACAGAAAGGUCUCUGGAGUAAGUCGACAAUUGCGGCCGCCUCGUUAUAGAUAUGGACAUGAGACUGGACCCAUACCAAAAUAGACUUCAUAAGCUUUCCAUCAUGUAUUUGAACAUCAAAAUCGGUCACCGUAUGAAGUCUUGGUGGCCAUCACAAGUUGUUAUAAUUCUGUAGUCUAAAUUUAGCCUGUGCCAAUCCCCUAUGCUUCUGGUCCUCUCCAUCAUUCCUAAGCAAAACAAGAGUGCACGUGUCUCUAUUAUCUAAAUAUGAUGGACAAGAGUUUAAGAAUGAACUUACUUGAUGGUUGAGUUGAUGGGCACAGGCACGAGUAAGAGGCCCAAGUGGUGUUGGCGAUGGUGUGGUUGUAGGUGUGGAUGUAUAGAUGGUGCUGGUGUCCUCAUCAGUUUUUGAGCCUAUGGUGCAUUAGGUGCAAACCGUUCACCUAUCUUGCACCAAAACUGACUGUAUCUCCAAAUA
rnacentral:lncRNA from 1 species